UUGCUUGUAGCAAUGGCCCACCCAGACCAUGAGACUAGAUUUGGAGCACACAGUGUUUUCUCUAUCUUGCUCAUGCCAUCCUUGUUUUCUCCUUGGCCAGACCAGGAUAAGAAAACCUCUGAAGCUGUUUCUGAAACUUUUGGUGCAUCAGCAUCACAAAAGAGGAGUAAGGUUUCUCCUUUCUGGGUGAAAGCAAAGAUAAUGUUGAUGCCGUGGAUGGAAAAUUGUGGGAAGAAGGCAAUUCAAUUUCAAAUGUGGGUGAAAAACAUGAUUCUCAUGAUCAUUUAAACAGCUUCUGGCAUGCUGCCCCAGAUUGAAAAAUGCUAACUUCCCUUCGAUUGAGUAGCCAUCAAAUCAGUCAUUUGCUUUCAUCAUUAUGGGUUCAGGCAACAUCUGCAGAGAAUAUGCCCACAAAUAUUGAGGCCAUGAGCCAUACUUAUAAUAUCACUUUGCUUUCCACACGAUCUAAGGCCUCAAGUCACAUGGCACUAGUUCGGUGUUUUCAGCUGGCUGUCUCUCUGGCUCAAGAUGGUUAGCUGAAUCUGUUAGUGUAUGGUAAAUUGGUAAUAUGUUUUGAUAGUAGGGAUUGACAGCAUUUGCUCUCUAAUUCCUCUUUUCUCUUUGGCUAAAAGAUCCCUGAUUUAUGAUUUCUUAAUUGCUCUUGAAGUUUAUUUUCUGAAAUUAUUAGAUUGGUUAUGUUGGUGCACUUUACUUCCCAUACCUGUUUCUUGCAUCCAUAUCUAAGCAGGUCUGCAACAAUCUCGUGGAAGGUCUCUCUUCACCUUGGCAUCAUUCAUGCUUAUUUUUGCAGCAAGGGCAGGAAAUCUUCCAGAGCUAAUUCCUUUUUUUAAAUCCUAUCUAACAGAAAAAACAUUUAGUUUACUUUUCCAUUACCAUUUAGAAGGAAAUGUUUUGUUGUUGUUUUUCUAUGACUAUGACAUGUUUCCCGUGGAGCUUUUGUUAAUAUAUUUGCAUCAAUUUAUGAAUAUUAUGGCAGGCCAACCCUUAUCUUGAAUUAGUUGAAUAUAUCAGGCUGCAGGCUGUUUAUGUAGAAUCUGAUGACGGGAAAAUAGCAUAUGGAUCAGAGGAGGAGGAUGUUGCUGCUUUAAAAUCUCUUUCACAUGUGGAAGCAGAUGGUGGUCAUUUGAAGGAAACCCUGACAUCCCACUUCAUGACAAAAUUUGUCAAAUUAUCAGAGGAUGAAUUCAGGCAUAAAACAGCAACUUCUGCAGGAGUUUUCACCUGAUGAUGCAUAUCCAUCAGGAGCUCCCCUGUUUAUGGAUACACUUAGGCCAUGUUCCCCUCUUGCCCGAAUGGAGUUUCAGGCAUUUGAGGAGAUCAUGCCUGCAGCUGCCUUGACAGAUGAUGAAACCUUCACAGAACUUAAUGGAAGCCAGUCAGGUCCCAGAACAUCAAUAUCUGUCCAUACACUUGACAUCCUAAGCGUCAAAGAACUUCUGGAACCAGUAAGGGGAGCACUUCCUGUUUCUUCGUUUCUUUUUCGACAUUUAACUGCUUGGUGCAUGGAAAUGUCAUUCCUUGGCUGCAUUUCUUUCCCAUUUUAUGUUGUUUAGAUCCGUGAUCCUUAGCAAGGAAUGGUUUUGGAAUGUAUUGAAAAUUGCAAAUUUAGGAAAGAUCAAAAAAGAAAAGAGUUAGUUUAAAAUUACCUUUUCCUUACGACCAGAUGAAGAGUCAGUGUGAAGCUCUUGUAACUGGGAAACAGCAGAAAAUGUCAAUACUGCAUAGUUUUAAGCCUCAAGCAGAAGCCAAGGUUUCCCCCAUUGAAGAAGAAAAGAAAGACACCUCAGUCUAUGAUGUGGUGAGUCUGUUUACUUUACAGAUACAAACCAUGCUUAAUGAAUACAUUGCUUUUUCGAAUUGAUUCCCUUCUGUCUUGUUUUGUCCCUUUGCAAGAACACAGUUGCUUCAG